rnacentral:rRNA from 1 species
UUCCGGUUGAUCCUGCCGGACCUGACUGCUAUCGGAACGGGAUUAAGCCAUGCGAGUUUGCCAAUCAGAGCAUGUUGGUUGGCGGCGAACGGCUCAGUAACACGUAGUCAACCUGCCCUCGGGUCGAGAAUAAUCUCGGGAAACUGAGGCUAAUGAACGAUAGGUCAAGAUUCCUGGAAUGGAUUUUGGUCUAAAUGGCGUGACAGCAUCUUGUUAUGUCCGCCCGAGGAUGGGACUGCGGCCGAUCAGGCUGUUGGUGGGGUAAAGGCCCACCAAACCAGUAACCGGUACGGGCUUUGAGAGAAGGAGCCCGGAGAUGGACACUGAGACAAGGGUCCAGGUCCUACGGGGCGCAGCAGGCGCGAAACCUUCGCAAUGCGCGCAAGCGCGACGAGGUUAUUCCGAGUGAUUUCCGCUGAGGAAAUCUUUUCUUAGAUCUAAAAAGUCUGGGGAAUAAGGGGAGGGCAAGUCUGGUGUCAGCCGCCGCGGUAAUACCAGCUCCUCGAGUGGUCAGGGCGUUUAUUGGGCCUAAAGCAUCCGUAGCCUGCUCGGUAGGUCUCCUGUUAAAUCCAACGGCUCAACCGUCGGCAUGCAGGAGAUACCGCUGGGCUAGGAGGCGGGAGAGGCGGACGGUACUCCGAGGGUAGGGGUAAAAUCCUUUGAUCCCCGGAAGACCACCAGUGGCGAAGGCGGUCCGCCAGAACGCGCUCGACGGUGAGGGAUGAAAGCUGGGGGAGCGAACCGGAUUAGAUACCCGGGUAGUCCCAGCUGUAAACGAUGCGAGCUAGGUGACACGACGCCUUCGGGGCAUCGUGGUGCCGCAGGGAAGCCGUUAAGCUCGCCGCCUGGGGAGUACGGACGCAAGUCUGAAACUUAAAGGAAUUGGCGGGGGAGCACCACAAGGGGUGAAGCCUGCGGUUCAAUUGGAUUCAACGCCGGG